AAUCAACGCUGGCGGCGUGCCUAACACAUGCAAGUCGAACGCGAAAGCCCCGCAAGGGGUCAGUAGAGUGGCAAACGGGUGAGUAACACGUGGGUGACCUGCCUUCGAGUGGGGGAUAACGUCCCGAAAGGGACGCUAAUACCGCAUAACAUCCUGCCUUUGAACAGGCGGUGAUCAAAGCUGGGGAUCGCAAGACCUAGCGCUGGAAGAGGGGCCCGCGCCUGAUUAGCUAGUUGGUGAGGUAACGCUCACCAAGGCGACGAUCAGUAUCCGGCCUGAGAGGGCGGACGGACACACUGGGACUGAGACACGGCCCAGACUCCUACGGGAGGCAGCAGUGGGGAAUUGUUCGCAAUGGGCGCAAGCCUGACGACGCAACGCCGCGUGGAGAUGAA
rnacentral:rRNA from 1 species